UUCCGACAGUGAGAGGAACGGCCGGAUACAGGAGACGGGAAGAAACAAGCCGAUUAUGUUCGCGUUAAUUAGGUGGUUGGAAGAUGUAAAAUUCUCAAUUCUGCCAACUGAACAUAUACGAGAUUUUAAUGAGGAUGAAUAAUUAGCCGGCAUGGAGGAAACGGACCUUUAUUUGGUGGAGUGGCGACAAGGAGCCAAAAGGCGGGUGGCCGGUCUAUGAAGCCUCCAUCAUCAAGCUAGCAGCCCAUGAAAUCGAACGCAGAUCUUCCUGAUGUGAGAUUUACAUAAAUAUGUCAAAGUCUCAACCUCAUGCUGCCCUCCCCCAUCCUCCUAAAUUUCAAUGGUGCGUGUUCUCCUAAUGGCCGCCUUCCCACUGGAGGUUUUGAUCCACAGCAAUUUAAAAGGAGGACAAAGCAAAACGGACAUCGGCGCAGAGUGAAGAACUGCCCUUCAUAAGGACACUAUGACAGCCAUAUAUAUGGCGGUAAGGAAGAGGUUUCCCAAUUUGUGCAGAAGGGCUUUGAGGAUUGCAGUGAAAGCUGGGGGAACUGAGACUGCUGGAAAAGGAAAAGAAAUUACAUUUUAAGUAUGUUGACUUAUGUUCAUACAAUCACACACACAUAUACACACACAUAUGUGUGUGUAUAUGUGUAUAUAUAUGUAUAUGUAUAUAUAUAUAUAUAUACACACACACACAUAUAUGUGUAUGUGUGUGUUUCUUUUAGAAUGUUUAAGUAUGUAAUGAGAAUAAAAUUAUAAAAUGAAUAUUCCUUGCUUGAUUUAUAUGCAUGUUUUAAACAUCAAAUAAAGAUUUCUUUCAGCUGUUACA